rnacentral:rRNA from 1 species
UAGUAACUGCGAGUGAAGCGGGAUCGGCUCAAUGUGUGAAUCUGGCUUGGGGUAAACCCGUGUCCGAGUUGUGCACUAUGGACGCUUUGUCUGCGUAUGUAACGGCGGUGGAAGUCCGUUGAAACACGGCACCUCAGAGGGUCACAGUCCUGUACCACCUGCCUGCACUCGCGCCAAUGACAAGCAAUCCUCGAGUCGCGUAGUUUUGUAAUGCUGCGCCAAGUGGGAGGUAGAGACCUUCUAAGGCUAAAUAUGAUGACGUGACCGAUAGCACACAAGUACCGCGAGGGAAAGGUGAAAAGCAACCAUGAAAAAUGGGUUGAAACAGUAGUGAAAGCGCUACCGGGAUAAGGGCUAUCGGGUGCUGGGGCUCUUUGGGUGUGCUUUAGUGCUACCCUUGGAGACGGCCCGCGCGGGUUGAUGUUGGGGCGAUAGACGCGCCGUUGGAAUUCGGCUGUCUUCGGGCAGUGUUGUAGCCUUCGGUUGCUGAUCCUCCUGCGACCUUGUGUGAUUGCGGGUCUUGUGACCGUUAGCCGCCCGUCUUGAAACACGGACCAAGGAGUGCACCUUGCAUGCGAGUCGAAGGGAAUUGAAACCUGGAGGCGUAGCGAACGCGACGAUGGGGAAUGUCCUUGUGGCAGACACCCGCACCCGCCUUGUGCGAGGUAGAGCAUGUACGGUGCGACCCGAAAGAUGGUGAACUAUGCCCGGGUAAGGUGAAGCCAGUGGAAACGCUGGUGGAGGCCUGUAGCGAUUCUGACGUGCAAAUCGAUCGCGUAACCUGGGUAUAGGGGCGAAAGACCUAUCGAACCGUCUAAU